rnacentral:rRNA from 1 species
AUCCUGGCUCAGGAUGAACGCUAGCGACAGGCUUAACACAUGCAAGUCGAGGGGCAGCGGGAAUUGUAGCAAUCGAUUUGCCGGCGACCGGCGCACGGGUGAGUAACACGUAUGCAACCUGCCCAUCGCAGGGGGAUAAGCGGGGGAAAUUCCGUCUAAUACCGCGUAACAUCAUUUAUAGGCAUCUGUAGAUGAUCAAGAAAUUCGGCGAUGGAUGGGCAUGCGGCGCAUUAGCUAGUCGGCGGGGUAACGGCCCACCGAGGCGACGAUGCGUAGGGGUUCUGAGAGGAAGGUCCCCCACACUGGUACUGAGACACGGACCAGACUCCUACGGGAGGCAGCAGUGAGGAAUAUUGGUCAAUGGGCGAGAGCCUGAACCAGCCAAGUCGCGUGAGGGACGACGGUCCUAUGGAUUGUAAACCUCUUUUGUCGGGGAGCAACGAGACCACGCGUGGUCGAAGGGAGAGUACCCGAAGAAAAAGCAUCGGCUAACUCCGUG